UCUGUUCAGCUUUAGCCAUGUAACUGUGAUGAGUGGAAACAUUGGUUUUCUCCACUGUUACACCCAUGUGUCAAUGAUGGUGCAAUCCUCCCAAUUGCUUUUGGGAUAUACAUGACACAGUAAGCAUCACAGUAUGAUCAGGUGGAUGCAUACAGACAUCCGGGUUCCUUCAAGGGAAAAUGAGAAGACUGACUGGAACCUGAUGCAAGUGUCAGGGCAGUAAGCAGGGCAUGAGGUCAUGGUGCCAGUGUGGUUCCCUGAGACAGGAUUUGGAGCAGAUUGGGAG